rnacentral:lncRNA from 1 species
AUAACUAUUUUACUGUGCUUAGAUUUGGUUAGCAGUUUUUAGGCUACAUUGCAGCCUAAACGUGCCCCAGCUUGUUGUUGUUAUGCAUUUUAUAUUUCCUGAUAGAUUAUGAACCGUUUCCUGUUUUUACUCAGUUUGGGGCUGCUUGAGUGGGUGCAUACUAAAUCGUAUAACAAGAGAAAGUGAAUAACUGAAUGCGAUAACACGUGUUGAACUCAAGUUUACACAUUAGUGCACGUGAUGUGUCAAUCAAACGUACUAUAACCCUCAUAUAAUGGAUGCUGCUAUUUGCAAAGUAAGAAUUGAAUGAUGCAAAGAGAUCCAUGAUGUAGAAGAACUUACAAGGCCGGUAGUCUCCGAACCCCUUUCAUUGGAAUUUGACGAAAUCCCCAAUCGCAUAGGUCACACACAAUGUAUUGAAAAUGCGGUGUCUGCCGGUGCUCUGUUUUGAGAUGUUUUAGUCACAUAUUCUUAUCUAAUUAUGGUAUGAGAAAAAUAGCACUUCAAGUCCUUAUCAAACGUGUUUCUCCUUUGUUUUGGUCUUCUCUUAACUUUUUUGUUUGCUUCAGGAUGCCUCUAAUUAUCUAACAAAUGCAUGUGAGCAAAGAUUAUAGUGGCUCAAAUAGCAUGUAGGUUUAAUAAACCAAAUAAUUGAUUGUUGCCGUUGUUUUACUGAUUGGCUUAGAAGUAGAGACUUGGCAUGGGGGCUGCCGCUUGAAAAGAUGCAAAUGUUGCAACUUCACCAAAGGUUCUAUGUCGCAAGUUGUGUGUGUCGGUGGUUCAAGGUCCUUUCCCUUAUUCUAUUUUUCUCUAUAGUUUUUGUCUAAUGUAUGACGUAUUCCUUCUAAAAGUUGUAUGGUAAUGAGCGAGCCUAAUCUGAAAAUAUAUUAGACUGGCGAUUGCGUUAGUUUGUUAGAUCGACAGGAUGUAGUUGUAGGAGACCCAUGCCUUCUAUGUUCAGGUCAUCGUUUUUUUUAUUUUACAAUUUUCAGAUUUUACAUUCCACAGUAUCUUCUGCCAUUCCGAAAUGCCUAUAUGUAUGGUUAUAAAUCAUCUACGAGUACAGAAUGCUAACUACGUUUCAGACAUGAAAGCUUAGGAAAAAACAUGUAAGCUAAAGCCCGAACAAAUGCACUAUGAAAAACGCCUUGAUAUUCAGUAGCAGUAGUGAGAACAUAUAUAUAAUUAAAAAUAAUCAAAGGAGUAAAAUGAGCAGACCAAUUUAGUGUAGGCAUAUAACGAGUUGUCCUUUCUGUUGUUGUUUAUUGUCAAUUUAAAGUAGAGUAGCUUCUAAUUUUCCCAUGUACACUAGUAGAAAACAGGGCAUUUGUCCCGAUUCGUAAGGGCCUUUAGUCCCGAUUCUUGAACCGGGACUGAUAGGUCGUUACUAAUGCCUCCCCCCUUUAGUCCCGAUUCUUACACGAACCGGGACAGAUGGGCAUCCAUGUGGACGCUGCGGGCAGCCCAGACAGGGGGGCCUUUGGUCCCGGUUGGUGACAUAAACCGGGAUCAAAAGGCAUCCACGUGUCAGAAGCUGGCUACAGCUGAGGGUUUUUUUUAAAGUUGCUGGUUUAGGGGUUUUGGGGGUUAAUUUAGGUUGUUAUUAGCUAGCUAAUAGAGAGAAGUGUCCUCUCUUAUCUCCGUGCUUGGUUUACCAACGCUACUGCUAUGUUCAUUUCACCCG